UAAUUUGAGAGUUUGAUCCUGGCUCAGGAUUAACGCUGGCGGCGUGCUUAAUGUAUGCAAGUCAAGGGGGUCCGUCUCGCCUCGCAAGAGGCGGACGAGAUAACCGGCGGACGGGUGAGUAAUAGGUGGGAAUCUUCCUUAAAGUGGGAUAUAGCCCCGAGAAAUCGGGGGUAAUCUCCCAUGUGACCGCAAGGUCAAAGUCGCAAGACGCUUUAAGAUGAGCCUGCCUCCUAUCAGCUUGUUGGUGGGGUAAUGGCCUACCAAGGCGACGACGGGUAGCUGGUCUGAGAGGAUGGUCAGCCACAAUGGGACUGCGACACGGCCCAUACACCUACGGGUGGC
rnacentral:rRNA from 1 species